GUCUCUCACACCCCACCUUUUACUUUUUCUUUCUUUUUCAACACAAGUCACCAACUUCUCACCUUAUCCACCACAAGACAACAGCAAAUCUUGUGAAAUCUGUAAUCUUUCGAAAAACCCACAUCAAAUCUUGAAAGAUCUGUAAUCUUUUGACAUACCCACAUCAAAUCUUAUGAAAUCUCUUAUCUUUUUGAAGAACCUACGUCGAUCCUUGAAGGAAUAUUUUGAAUUUUGAGGGCUAAAGUUGAAAAAAAGAUGAAAGAUGAGAAUGGUACUAACAGCAGCGGCGGCGGCGGCAGCGGAGAGAGGCGGAGCCACCGGCUGUCGGUGUCGGAUGUGGUGUCUAAUUGUUUGAGGAGGUGGGUGAAGAAGAGGAAAGGCUUCACGGAUUGUGGGUGAAAGCAGAUGGUGAGGAAGAGGGGGUAUCGUUUGGUCUGAGGUGCGGUCGGAAUCUGCUGUUGGUCGGAGUGGGUCUCCGGCGACCGGAGGUUAGAGAGGAGAAGAGGAGUGUGGGCUUGUACGGUUGUGAAGUGUGGGCUUGUACGGUUGUGAAGCAGAUGCAGCGGAUGUUUGUUGAUUUUUCCGGGGUUUGAUUUUGAUUUUUGAGUUUUCUGGUUUGAGGUUGGAUUGGCUGGGAUAGAUUGUAGAUGAUGAGCAAAGUGUUCAGGAAUCAGAAACACUGCUCUGAUACCAUAACAACAGAUCGCGAGCAAUCACUUUGGUCUGCUUUGUGGAUGGAUCAUAGCUCAUGAGCCUACCAUAAGGCCGGCCUUCAAGUAUGUCUAAUGCAAAAUCAUGCAAGUCAUAUUUCCAGGACGCAUCAGUGAAGUAUAGUACACCAUUUUUUGCAACUGUCACCGCGUCUGUAGUCCCAAAUUUUAUGCCCUCGGCCUCGUCUGUCAGUGCUUCUAUUUCACCAUCUUCGGUUAAUUUAAGGAUUCCCUAAAGAAUUUUUUUUGGCCACAAGCUUAACUUAUAAUUUAUGUAGUUGAGUUGACUUAAUUUGAUAAUCCUUUUCACUUUG
rnacentral:lncRNA from 1 species